UGAAGUGAACUGAGUAAUUGGGGAUUUUCCCUCCACUCCUCUAUAGGCAGUGUUUUACUAUUGUAACUAUGUUCACUGAAAUGGGUUCUGCUGUGUUACUGGCUGGUGGAGGAAACAAACCUGGAAAGAAUUAAAAGAAAAUAAGAGCAGUGGCUGGGGGACUGAGUGGGCAAAGGGAUAAGGAGCCUUUCAGCAACUUGAGUCAGUGCAGCCUUGAUCAGCAGUGAUGGAAAGGCCUUAGUAUCUGUCUCAGCAGACAAUCCAAGAGAAGAAAGAUGGUUCUUGUGGAGACAGCAUCAGACUGGGACUUGGACGACUGGCAUUCACUUGCUGGCUCAGACUUCCUCUGUGGCAUUGAACAAGUAAUUUCAUCUAUCCUUCACCUCAGUCAGCUGUCUAUAAAAUGAAAAUAACAUUUCCCUGUCUCAGAGGACUGCUGUAAAGAUAAAUUCCAUUAAUGAUUGUGAGUCAGUUAGAUAUUAUGGUAAUGAGGGCCACAUAGCUGUCAGCUCGAGAAAGAAUGAACUCCCUCCUGAUGAAAUGCUCCCUCUGAACUGAGCCAGGUGGUGAAGAAGUCGACUAGCCCAUGCUGUGUACCUGUUGUGUGAAGAGAGGACUUCAGUCCCCGCAGCUGUUGAUUUGGCACCUUUCACUAGCACUAAGUUCACUUUCAGAACUAGCUGAUAAGUAAUCGGGAGGAAAAAUCCUUUCUGAAGGCUGUGUGAAAUAAUAUCUACUGAACUUUGUCUGUAGACAGCUGGUAUCUUAGGAGAGGCUUGGUUUGAGUUGUGUUAUAUAACUGUGUUCUGUCUCUUUUCUUUAAUUCUCUUAUUUGGCUUUUGCUGCCCAUGCCAAGACCUUGUCAGUAUAGCCUGAGUUAGCAAAAGAACAUCUAGUGAUCAGGAACCAGGAAGGUGUGAGCUAUGUGCAAACGUUUCCAAUUACAUGCUUCAUUUGCCUUCUGGGAGGAACGCUCACCUGGACUCUUGUUCGUGCUUAGAGUGUGAUUGGGGACAUAGUGUGUGAGGAGACCUAUCCCUGGCACUCAUCCCACACCCAGCACCUGCCAGUGAAGCUAGCUGGCCACAGCAGGAUGUAGCACGCUCCCCUACCGUCAAGAAAGGGACCUGGACUCAUUGUAAGCAGCUCAAUAAAACCAGCGUACUGCUGUGGUAACAAAAAAAAAAAAAAAAAAAAAGCUAAGAUGUUAGGAUGAAAAAGGAAUGGGAUGGAAAAUAAUAUGGAGAAUCU